GAUGAACGCUGGCGGCGUGCCUAAUACAUGCCAGUCGAGCGAACAGACGAGGAGCUUGCUCCUCUGACGUUAGCGGCGGACGGGUGAGUAACACGUGGAUAACCUACCUAUAAGACUGGGAUAACUUCGGGAAACCGGAGCUAAUACCGGAUAAUAUAUUGAACCGCAUGGUUCAAUAGUGAAAGACGGUUUUGCUGUCACUUAUAGAUGGAUCCGCGCCGCAUUAGCUAGUUGGUAAGGUAACGGCUUACCAAGGCAACGAUGCGUAGCCGACCUGAGAGGGUGAUCGGCCACACUGGAACUGAGACACGGUCCAGACUCCUACGGGAGGCAGCAGUAGGGAAUCUUCCGCAAUGGGCGAAAGCUUGACGGAGCAACGCCGCGUGAGUGAAGAAGGUCUUCGGAUCGUAAAACUCUGUUAUUAGGGAAGAACAAAUGUGUAAGUAACUAUGCACGUCUUGACGGUACCUAAUCAGAAAGCCACGGCUAACUACGUG
rnacentral:rRNA from 1 species